CAUUGGGCAAUUAUCUGUGACAACGUACCACAGUUAUUCUAAACACGUGGAAAUAUCUGCUGAAUCAAAAAUUUAACUUGAGGGAACGACAAGCAAAGAAAAGGAACUCGUCUGAUACCUAGCAAGCUACUAUGAUAUGAAGUAAAACGAAACCAUGGGAUGAACAGAUAAAGAAUAAAAUAUGAACACAUAAACUGAAACGGCUGCCGG
rnacentral:lncRNA from 1 species